rnacentral:lncRNA from 1 species
AAGAAUCUCACAUCAUAACCCCAAAUGACCUGUUACUCACCAUGUGGCCCAGCUGUCUUCAAACUCACCAGCCUCCUGCCUUAGCCUUCUAAAUGCUUGGAUUACAGGCAUGACCCACCAUAACUGGCUUUGUUUUAGUUUCAGAGAAGAUGAAACUGAUGUGCGUCAAAAAGGUAAAUGUCACAUGACCCAUCUUAUGUUGAAUAAAACUAUUCUAUGAUUCAAUCUGUAUAAGCUUCAAAGAUAAAUUAACUAGCAGCACAUUUUUAUUAUUGUUUGUAUAGUAUGUUUGAUCAAAUUCCUUCCCCUCCCCAAACUCCCUCUAGAUCCUCCCCAUCUCUCUAUCCACCCAACUCUUUGUUCUUUAUCUCUCCCAAAAUAAAGAACAAAACAAGAAAAAACAACAACAAAAAAUGAAAGCAUGUGCGUGCAAGCACACCCCCCCAUACACACACAAACACACACACAAACAUACACACACACAUACACACACACACCACAUAAAGUCUAUUUUGUGUUGGCCAACCAUUUCUAUGCAUGAAGCCUGAUGCAUGAAGCCACAAAAAUUGGCUGAUAUACUCUCUCUCCCUGCACUGCUAUGAAAUAGCUCCUCUUUCCUGUAAUCUUCUCAUGAGAGUUGGGCAUCUCCUGUCUCUGACUCAGUCUGUCAAAUCUUUCUCUGACUCAUUACUUUGUCUGCCCCCCUGGUAGUCUGUCAAGGAAAUGAGCUGAACAUGUCUGUGUACAGCUUUUGUGCCAUCCCUGGAUGAGCGAGCUGUCUGCCUCUAUGUUCUCCACAAAAUGGAAUAUAGCUGUACACCCAAGCCAAGGUCAGUCACAGCGGCAAGGACCCUAUCUUUAUUUUUUAUAUGAAUUUUUAAAAGAUUUAUUCAUUUAUUUUAUGUAUGUGAGUACAUUGUAGUUAUCUUCAGAUAAACCAGAAGAGGGUACCAGAUCUCAUUAAAGAUGGUUGUGAGCCACCAUGUGAUUGCUGGGAAUUGAACUCAAGACCUCUGGAAGAGCAGUCAAUGCUCUUAUCUGCUGAGCCAUCUCUCUAGCCCCAGAACACUAUCUUUACACAUGGCAAGGCAAUGUGAUAGAAGAAUUGUGCAUACUGAGACAUAGCAAAGGCCUGUUUAGCAUAGCAUUCACCUUGGAACACCCAUUCCUUCUUUGACCUAUUAGGAAGAGGGAAACAUUUUUCUAUGAUACGGAAGCUAAGGUUACUAGCUAUCUUUGUUAUAACUUCCUUUAUCAUCUAAUUCUCAGCGUAUAGAAUUAAUUUUUUUCCAACUUGCUGAUUUAAUCUGUUUACUGUUCUAAUGAGAAACACUUAAGGCUAUGUAACUAAUAAAGAUUUUAAUUUUUACAGUUAUGGAGGCUGGGAAGACCUAGAAUGUGGCAUCACUAUUUGGUAAGAACCUUCCUAUGUCAUUGUAGAGUGAGGGACUUGGGUACCACAUGGCAAGGCAUAGUACCCAAAUCCCUUUCCUUCAUAAAAGUAUUAAUGUCAUCAAAGAGGCCCCACCACCAUGAUGCCAUCUGGGGCCUCAUGACCCCAAUGCCUGAUGCCAAAGACUCCCACCUCAAAAUACUUUUUUCUUCAGCAUAACAUUUUAUUAAUUAUCUGGGA